CUGCAGCAAAAAAGAAAAAAAAAUGUUUGUAAAAUGACGGCUGUGCCCUUCUCAAUUCGAAAAAUGGUUACUUUUUAUAAUCUCAACAGAUUUAUCUUUCUUCGAGUAAAUAGUAUUGCUUUUAUUUUUAUUGAACAAAAAGAGUGUUGCCUUUUGUGAUAGAAACGUUGAGACAAAAAACAUAUUUUAAGAAAAUCAAGUUUUUUGUCUUUUUCCAACGAAAACAAACAAAAAGGAAUGUAGGGUUUCAGUUGAUUUCCCAUAAAGAGAGGACUUCUUCCAUGUAGGGUUUUUGUCUUUGCCGCCGGUCGUUUGCACAUCUGUCUUCUCUCUCUCUCCGCCUUCACCAAGCAAACUCACUCUUCUCUCAUCUCUACACUGAAGAUCAAGAGACAACCGAACCCUCGAUAAGUCUCAGCUUAACCACCACUUAGGCCAAAACACACAGAUUUGACCGCUGGUAUGGCUUAACCACCCAAACUCGGCGUCCCUCUGCCGCCGGUCGUUUGCACAUCUGUCUUCUCUCUCUCCGCCUUCACCAAGCAAAUUCACUAUUCUCUCAUUUCUACACAAAAAAGUCUCAGCUUAACCAUCACUUUGGCCAAAACACACAUAUUUGACCGCUGGUAAAGAUAAAGAUCAAACUCUCUCGAUUUUCUACUGCUUCUAUGUACAGAAAGUGUACAGAGGAUGUACGUGGAAUCGGCGGCAUAUAACCCUAGCUUGGGGCCAUAACAAGUGGUGCUGGUUGAUUACGUUGGCGAAGGAGUCUAGAGGUGGUGAAGAAGAUGAUGGUUGUGGGAUACGCGUAGGAUAUAGGGGUAUUAAAGUCAUUAAAUUUUAAGCACAUUGUCGAAUGGUAGAUCCUUAAAUAGGCAAUAUUUUUUGUGUAUACAAUGCAAAUCGAGAGAUUUCCAACGCAUUGUUCUGGUACGCCUACUUUUUGUGAAGACCAUUUGAUAAAACGUUUCUGUGUUCUGUUUGAUUGUUUUAUUAUAUACAUGAAUCCUAUCUA